rnacentral:rRNA from 1 species
GACGAACGCUGGCGGCGUGCUUAACACAUGCAAGUCGAACGGAAAGGCCCUGCUUUUGUGGGGUGCUCGAGUGGCGAACGGGUGAGUAACACGUGAGUAACCUGCCCUUGACUUUGGGAUAACUUCAGGAAACUGGGGCUAAUACCGGAUAGGAGCUCCUGCUGCAUGGUGGGGGUUGGAAAGUUUCGGCGGUUGGGGAUGGACUCGCGGCUUAUCAGCUUGUUGGUGGGGUAGUGGCUUACCAAGGCUUUGACGGGUAGCCGGCCUGAGAGGGUGACCGGCCACAUUGGCACUGAGAUAAGGCCCAGACUCCUACGGGAGGCAGAAGUGGGGAAUAUUGCACAAUGGGCGGAAGCCUGAUGCAGCAACGCCGCGUGCGGGAUGACGGCCUUCGGGUUGUAAACCGCUUUCGCCUGUGACGAAGCGUGAGUGACGGUAAUGGGUAAAGAAGCACCGGCUAACUACGUG